GUGGGCCCCAUACCUAUUGAUGAUGGAGUUGGGAAAGAAAUUGUAACUCAGAUCACAACCACCAUGAAGAGCAAUAAAACAUUUUACAUAGAUUCUAAUGGGAGAGAUUUUCUUCAAAGGAUUCGAGACUAUAGAGAGGAUUGGGAUCUUGAAGUGAAUCAACCUAUUGUUGGAAAUUAUUAUCUUGUCAAUCUUGGAAUUUACCUAAAAGACGAAACUAGUGAGCUCUUGCUUUUAGUAGAUAGAUCCGUAGGUGGAUCCAGCAUUGUUGAUGGGCAAUUGG